UUUUUAGUUAUUUUGUGGAUUUUUAAAAAUGUUUCUACUAACAUCAAAUGUUUACUACUUGAGGGAAAACAGGCGAUAUAAGCAUGUUGCUGCUUUCUAAACUACCGUUACCUAAAGGAGGUUUUUCUAUUUUACUAACAUGAAAGUAAAAUUUUUAAAUACUUUAGAACAGGGCUUUUCAAAAAUGUCAAAUAAUCCAGGAAAGGAACUGCGGACGUUCGCCAAGCAUCUGUGUAACCUGUUCAUUCCUCCAACCUGCAGGGGGCGCUGUUUAAAAAGUGCGUAGUUCCUAAAGUCACCGCUAGCUGCGCAUAGCACAGAACAGUCUGCGGUCGGUUUACAUCCAAAAACUUGAUGAAAACUUGAUAUGAAGCUGUCAAAUUCAAAGGAUCUUUACCAACAACCAGCUCACUUACCAAUCUGGUCACCCAAGAAAAGGCUGGAACAGCGACAAACACGUCGGGAUUAGAAGAUUCACGCAAUAAACGGUCUGACAGGUUGGUUGACCAGUUCUACUGUCAGUACCAAAACCUGCAGAAGUCAUAUCUACCAACCCAAACCACAAACAUGUACGACACCAGGCCCAUUGGAAAAAAAAUCUCUGAAAUUCGCUAGAAAAAAGCUCUAAAAUUUUGAGAUUAAUCUCUAAAA